GAUGAACGCUAGCGGCAGGCCUAACACAUGCAAGUCGAGGGGUAGAAUUAGCUUGCUAAUUUGAGACCGGCGCACGGGUGCGUAACGCGUAUGCAAUCUACCUUGUACAGGGGGAUAGCCCAGAGAAAUUUGGAUUAAUACUCCAUGGUAUAAUUGAAUCGCAUGGUUUGAUUAUUAAAGUUCCAACGGUACAAGAUGAGCAUGCGUCCCAUUAGCUAGUUGGUGUGGUAACGGCAUACCAAGGCGACGAUGGGUAGGGGUCCUGAGAGGGAGAUCCCCCACACUGGUACUGAGACACGGACCAGACUCCUACGGGAGGCAGCAGUGAGGAAUAUUGGUCAAUGGUCGGAAGACUGAACCAGCCAUGCCGCGUGCAGGAAGACGGUCCUAUGGAUUGUAAACUGCUUUUGUACGGGAAGAAACACUCCUUCGUGAAGGAGCUUGACGGUACCGUAAGAAUAAGGAUCGGCUAACUCCGUGCCAG
rnacentral:rRNA from 1 species